AACAUAACUGUUUGGCUUUUUUAUUUUAAAUAAAAAAUAAUAAAAAUUAGGUUUUAUUCGAUCUACUACAUUUAGUGCAUGGCUGAAUUAAAUCCGUAGCGUCUAGCUGUAUACUAUAACGGAUACAUCCUUUUCUCUAAGUUGUAUUUCUUAAAGAUAAAGAAGAAGUCAAGCCAUCAUGCUGAUUGUAUUGUGGGCUAUAGGUGUGUUACUAUUAGAGAAACAAAAAGUAGCUAAUGUAAAACUUACGCAAAUCUUUUAAAUACUCUUUUAGCGGAUAGUUCUCUGCAACUCGAGAACUUGAAGAAGGAAUCGCCAGUAAUCGCGAAUCAGCAUCGUCGCGGUGAAUGUACUAGCUAAGGUGGACAGCUCGCUCGUCACGGUCCGAAAAUUACUUGGAGGCAAAGACUACUUUUUAAAUUCAUACGCUAUUAACUCUAUAAAACAUACAUGUUUUAUUUUUAGUGUAAAGUCUUUAAAAAAUUUUAAAACCUUUCGGUAAUGAUUGGAUUGAAGUCGAAACAGGUUUUUGUUCGGGAACGAGCAGAAGAUAAGAUAUUUC
rnacentral:rRNA from 1 species